CAAAAUAGCAAUGAAUGAAAUCGGUCCCACUCCAAACAAAUAGUAGCGCCCCAAUCAGAGCAUAAAAUCUCAUCAGAUGCACACGAUCGGUACUGUAGGUCUAGCUAUCGAUAUCGCAUCGUCUAGACACUCCGCGUGUCGCUUGGACAUACUACGUAGUAGCUUCAGCAUCAAGGAAGGCUUCAACGUAGCGCUGCAUUCGCGAUAACCCACGAUUCUAUAAAUUCUCAUUAAUCCGGGUCAUUAGUCCGUUGGUGGGAUUCACUCCCAUUGAGCUGCUCGCUAGCUAGUGCAAACUGGAUUCACGUACACGAUCGGCACCAAUAGACUAAACCACCCGGGCGUACCGAUCCUGUGCAAACCGGUUCGGAGUUCGAUCGUGUUGAGCCACCGGUACAUCACAUGCCCUGCAACGCCAUCAAACAGGCUCAGGGUCGUUCCGUCUAGUCGAGGUUGGUAGCGAGUGAGCUCCCAUCGAGCGGCGGACAACUACGCAUCGCUUUGGACCCCAGCAAGGGACAGCCGGCCUUACGUCGAUCGGUCCGGCGUGUGGUGCUCUCGCCAAACCUAACCUCUCGCAGAGUUUGUUACGUCCACAAUUUAAUUCCCAGCAUUACUAAUAUUGACAUUCGUCGGGCAUCGCGGUGCUUGUGAUAACGUCAAGACGCCAAGUGCACGGUAGUGCACUUUGAUAAGAUCCGGUACAAACAACCGUCCACUGCCCGUCUUCCGGUGAAAAGUGGGCCCCUUUAGCUGAGGCUUGAGGGUUGUCGUGACGUUAUGGUAAUUUGUUGGUUCCAGGGAAUUGAUUGUUCAUUGGAAAUAACCCGAUUUGACAUCAAUUCUGACUCGAAGACACUUUCAGAUGCUUCAGAAAUUCCCAAUCGGAUCCUGUCAUCGGACCACCCGGCUAUUUCAUUUUGUGUCAUCUCACCCCCACUUUGGCGAAGCGCUUCUUAUCGCGCUGCACGUCUGGAAGCGCUCGUACAGCACCGAUAAAGCCGAACGCACUCCGUGGUACCGGAUUGUCCAGCACGCCCGGCCAGGGAUUGAACCGGUUCGAGCCAGUUCCACCAACGAUUAGCAUGCUGUCGCGUCCCGUCUGCUUCUACCUUCUUAUCGCGUGCGGGCGCGCGCAAUAUUCCGUCAAUUACGGAAACAUACCCGACUCAGCCUGACAGGCACAAUACUACUCGCCUACAGGGGGGGAAUUCGUGUGUGCCGUGAUUCCAGCAACAGAGGUGUUGGUGGAUUUUGUGUGUAUUUUUAGGGUUUUUAUUACCAUUGGCCGCCUGAUCACGCAGGCACUGUGUAGGCUCCCAUUAGUCAAGGCUAUAGACUUUGAACGGGGGAAGUUUCGAGUUGGAAAAACACACACAAACACACGUGUUGGCAGUUUUUCGUUAGUAAUAUGUGGCGAACAUUACAUCACUUCCUGCGUGAUCAUGCGUCCGACGACGGCACACGCCGAACACAUGUUUUUGGAAGCUAUACGACCCACUCUAGUACCUUCUAGUUGACCAUAAAUAAGCCCUUGCCUCAGUGUGUGUGUGUGUGUGUGGGAAUAUCUGAAGUACACCUCUUGGCAGAAUGUAAUACACCCAUCACACAGCUUGUCACUUAUUGACGCGCGGCCCCACACCAGGACCGAAUCCGAUUCUGCUCGGUGAGGGAGAAAUUAACCCUUCGGGUUAUCAGCGCGAACCGGUUCGGGCUGGUUCUCGAUCAUCCCCCGGGCUCCGGACAGCCGUUGUGCGCAGAUCGGGCGCUUAUCGCAACUACACGCUCCGUCCAAGGGCCAGCCGGACCACCGAGAGCAUUUGUCCUACUUUGGACAAAUGCAUCAAUACACCCCGCGGAGGGAGGCGGUUCCGCAGGGUUUUUGUUUGUUUUGAAGGCGUCCACCAAAAAUAGCACCCCCCAAAAUCGGUGCCCGCUCACCGAAACCAAUCAUCCGCUGAACACGAAUCCGGUUCGUGUCGGUUGGCUGCGGGCAUGCAAGGGCUGCGACUGAUAGCGACCCGGGGACUGGAGGAUAAUUUAUAACGGAAAGCCGUACUCGCUAAAGGUGUCUCGCCCUGUUGGGGCUAGGGGACGACCCCGUGGCUCAAGGAUCCCCCCAUGUUUUGUUGCGUGAUAGGAGAGGCGAUUUUCGACCGGAGUCCGCGACGAUACCUUGGACCCGCUGGUCUGGGAAACAGCUGGACCAGCGCUGCGGGCUUAUCAAGCGGACGCAUCUGGUGAAACUGGCGCGUGGUGUUUCAUCAGCUCCGUGCGGAGGGGAAUUUAUCGAUCAGACGGUCAAUGAACCGGGGAGGGAAGCGGAGGGGGGAGCAUUAGUGUUUGUUACAGUUGCGAAAUACGAGACUAUUGGCAGGUGUAUCGAUGAUCGGUUUUUGCGGCUAGGAAUUGCAUCGGAGGGGAAUGCAGUUCAAGUUGAGAGUUCAGCAAGACGUGUGAUAUGAAUGCAACGUUGAUAAGAUGACAAUGUAUGACGUUGUUACAAAUACUUAUGUCUAUAAUGCCACAAUAAUAGAUAACUUGUUGAAAUAAUA